AGUGGGAUAGCUGGGUCAAAUGGUUGUUUCAUUCCCAGUUUUCAAGGUUUCUCCAUACUGCUUUCCAUAUUGGCUGUACCAAUUUGCAGUCCUACCAGCAAU
rnacentral:pre_miRNA from 1 species